UGUGCUGCGUAGGAGAAGCUGUGUGUAUGCUUAAAGGAUAUAUACUGGUGGAUGCCUCAGAAAUUGAGUAGAUUCAUUCAUUAACACAGAUGAUGCAUGAUUGCCGUUUACUUUUAUCUAAAAUAUUGGUGGGUUAAUGUUGGGUUGUAAGAUAUGACUUUUAACAGUUACACUAUGAUGAAGUGAUUUGAAUUUAUUGUGGGACUGUGAUUUUGUUUCGUUUAUUUGUCUUCGUUUUGUGUUAAUCAACCAAAGACAAAGGGGUUCCCAUUCUUGUAUGCAUGGUUUACUCUUAAGGUGAUUGGGCACAAUUUGUAGUGGUUUGAGUCAAGUGCGUGUUGGUUUUCUAUUACACUUGUAGUGUUAUUGGUUUUGUGCUGUGAUUUGAGUGUACGCUUUAAUAGUGGAACUGCCAUUGUAUGGGAUUGGGGAACCCUAUGGUCUAUAGUGGGUUAAACCUUUGUGUUCUUUUCGUUUCUUUGCCACUUCUUAUUACCAUUUGUGUUUAAUAAAUCUGUUUGUGCUUGCAAGGAAACACACUGUGGUUGUUGCCCUUCUUUUACACCUUCCCCAUUACUUGUAAGGCCUGGGGAGGGUUACAAAUGGCCUAGUCGGCAGGGUCUGUUUGAUGUUGGGCAGCACUACAGUGUGUU